rnacentral:rRNA from 1 species
CCUACGGGGGGCAGCAGUGAGGAAUAUUGGUCAAUGGCCGGAAGGCUGAACCAGCCAUGCCGCGUGAAGGUCAGUGCCCUAUGGGCGUUAAACUUCUUUUGUGCGGGAGCAAUAAUGGUCACGUGUGGCCAGACGAGAGUACCGUACGAAUAAGCAUCGGCUAACUCCGUGCCAGCAGCCGCGGUAAUACGGGGAUGCAAGCGUUAUCCGGUGUUUUUGGGGUUUAAGGGUGCGUAGGAUGGGAGGUAAGUCAGCGGUGGAAUGCCCCCGCUCAACGGGGUGAAGUGCCAUUGAUACUGCCUUGCUGGAAUGCGGAUGCCGUGGGAGGAAUGUGUGGUGUAGCGGUGAAAUGCACAGAUAUCACACAGAACACCGAUUGCGAAGGCAUCUCACGAAUCCGCGAUUGACGCUGAUGCACGAAAGCGUGGGUAUCAAACAGGAUUAGAUACCCCAGUAGUC